GGGUUGUGAGGUUAAGCGACUAAGCGUACACGGUGGAUGCCCUGGCAGUCAGAGGCGAUGAAGGACGUGCUAAUCUGCGAUAAGCGCCGGUAAGGUGAUAUGAACCGUUAUAACCGGCGAUUUCCGAAUGGGGAAACCCAGUGUGACUCGUCACACUAUCAUUAACUGAAUCCAUAGGUUAAUGAGGCGAACCGGGGGAACUGAAACAUCUAAGUACCCCGAGGAAAAGAAAUCAACCGAGAUUCCCCCAGUAGCGGCGAGCGAACGGGGAGGAGCCCAGAGCCUGAAUCAGCAUGUGUGUUAGUGGAAGCGUCUGGAAAGGCGCGCGAUACAGGGUGACAGCCCCGUACACAAAAGCGCAUGUGCUGUGAGCUCGAUGAGUAGGGCGGGACACGUGGUAUCCUGUCUGAAUAUGGGGGGACCAUCCUCCAAGGCUAAAUACUCCUGACUGACCGAUAGUGAACCAGUACCGUGAGGGAAAGGCGAAAAGAACCCCGGCGAGGGGAGUGAAAAAGAACCUGAAACCGUGUACGUACAAGCAGUGGGAGCACCCUUUGGGGUGUGACUGCGUACCUUUUGUAUAAUGGGUCAGCGACUUAUAUUCUGUAGCAAGGUUAACCGAAUAGGGGAGCCGGAGGGAAACCGAGUCUUAAUUGGGCGUUAAGUUGCAGGGUAUAGACCCGAAACCCGGUGAUCUAGCCAUGGGCAGGUUGAAGGUUGGGUAACACUAACUGGAGGACCGAACCGACUAAUGUUGAAAAAUUAGCGGAUGACCUGUGGCUGGGGGUGAAAGGCCAAUCAAACCGGGAGAUAGCUGGUUCUCCCCGAAAGCUAUUUAGGUAGCGCCUCGUGAACUCAUCUCCGGGGGUAGAGCACUGUUUCGGCUAGGGGGCCAUCCCGGCUUACCAACCCGAUGCAAACUGCGAAUACCGGAGAAUGUUAUCACGGGAGACACACGGCGGGUGCUAACGUCCGUCGUGAAGAGGGAAACAACCCAGACCGCCAGCUAAGGUCCCAAAGUCAUGGUUAAGUGGGAAACGAUGUGGGAAGGCCCAGACAGCCAGGAUGUUGGCUUAGAAGCAGCCAUCAUUUAAAGAAAGCGUAAUAGCUCACUGGUCGAGUCGGCCUGCGCGGAAGAUGUAACGGGGCUAAACCAUGCACCGAAGCUGCGGCAGCGACACUCAGGUGUUGUUGGGUAGGGGAGCGUUCUGUAAGCCUGCGAAGGUGGCCUGUGAGGGUUGCUGGAGGUAUCAGAAGUGCGAAUGCUGACAUAAGUAACGAUAAAGCGGGUGAAAAGCCCGCUCGCCGGAAGACCAAGGGUUCCUGUCCAACGUUAAUCGGGGCAGGGUGAGUCGACCCCUAAGGCGAGGCCGAAAGGCGUAGUCGAUGGGAAACGGGUUAAUAUUCCCGUACUUGGUGUUACUGCGAAGGGGGGACGGAGAAGGCUAUGUUGGCCGGGCGACGGUUGUCCCGGUUUAAGCGUGUAGGUGUGUGUUCCAGGUAAAUCCGGUUCACUUUAACACUGAGGCGUGAUGACGAGGCACUACGGUGCUGAAGCAACAAAUGCCCUGCUUCCAGGAAAAGCCUCUAAGCAUCAGGUAACAUCAAAUCGUACCCCAAACCGACACAGGUGGUCAGGUAGAGAAUACCAAGGCGCUUGAGAGAACUCGGGUGAAGGAACUAGGCAAAAUGGUGCCGUAACUUCGGGAGAAGGCACGCUGACAC
rnacentral:rRNA from 1 species